rnacentral:misc_RNA from 1 species
GAUGAAGAACGUAGCGAAAUGCGAUAAGUAAUGUGAAUUGCAGAAUUCAGUGAAUCAUCGAAUCUUUGAACGCACAUUGCGCCCGCCAGUAUUCUGGCGGGCAUGCCUGUUCGAGCGUCAUUUCAACCAUCAAGCCCCAGGCUUGUGUUGGGGACCUGCGGCUGCCGCAUGCCCUGAAAACCAGUGGCGGGCUCGCUGUCACACCGGGCGUAGUAGAUUUUAUCUCGCUCAGGGCGUGCUGCGGGUUCCGGCCGUUAAAAAGCCUUUUUUACCCAAGGUUGACCUCGGAUCAGGUAGGAAUACCCGCUGAACUUAAGCAUAUCAAUAAGCGGAGGA